CCUUUGGGUGGGGAAUAACUCAGGGAAACUUGAGCUAAUACCGCAUAAUGCAGCGGCUCGACAUCGAGACAGUUGUUAAAGCGGGGGAUUGGAGUAAUCCGACCUCGCGCCUGAAGAGAAGCCUGCGGCAGAUUAGCUAGUUGGUAAGGUAAUGGCUUACCAAGGCGACGAUCUGUAACCGGCCUGAGAGGGCGGUCGGACACACUGACACUGAAUAACGGGUCAG
rnacentral:rRNA from 1 species